ACACUCACCAGGUUCAGGUUGCUGUGAGUGUAGCCAUCAUGGCUAUCCCAGGAGCAGGUCCAUUGGUUGCUUCAUUUUCAGGAGGGACGACAUGAUGGAUGAUUUAUGUUUGUGGGUGCAUGCUGAGGUGGGAUUUGUGUCCACCGUUGUUCGGAUGGAACAGAUUGACUGGGUUUUUCGCAGCUUCUCCUUCAUAGUCUACACUGGUGAAUCUUUUCUCCUCCCUGUUAUGUUACUUAUGUACACGUUUU